CCAGACUCCUACGGGAGGCAGCAGUGAGGAAUAUUGGUCAAUGGACGAGAGUCUGAACCAGCCAAGUAGCGUGAAGGAUGACUGCCCUAUGGGUUGUAAACUUCUUUUAUAUGGGAAUAAAACGUUCCACGUGUGGGAUUUUGUAUGUACCAUAUGAAUAAGGAUCGGCUAACUCCGUGCCAGCAGCCGCGGUAAUACGGAGGAUCCGAGCGUUAUCCGGAUUUAUUGGGUUUAAAGGGUGCGCAGGCGGAGGUGCAAGUCCGGGGUAAAAUCGCGGGGCCCAACCUCGGUCCGCCGUUGAAACUGGCGUUCUUGAGUGGGCGAGAAGUAUGCGGAAUGCGUGGUGUAGCGGUGAAACGCAUAGAUAUCACGCAGAACUCCGAUUGCGAAGGCAGCAUACCGGCGCCCAACUGACGCUGAAGCACGAAAGCGUGGGUAUCGAACAGGAUUAGAUACCCCAGUAUAU
rnacentral:rRNA from 1 species